GAAUUGACGGGGGCCCGCACAAGCGGUGGAGCAUGUGGUUUAAUUCGAUGCAACGCGAAGAACCUUACCAGGGCUUGACAUCCUGCGAAUUCUGUGGAAACACAGGAGUGCCCUUCGGGGAGCGCAGAGACAGGUGGUGCAUGGUUGUCGUCAGCUCGUGUCGUGAGAUGUUGGGUUAAGUCCCGCAACGAGCGCAACCCUUGCCCUUAGUUGCCAUCACGUAGAGGUGGGCACUCUAAGGGGACUGCCGGUGACAAACCGGAGGAAGGUGGGGAUGACGUCAAAUCAUCAUGCCCUUUAUGUCCUGGGCUACACACGUGCUACAAUGGCCGGUACAGAGGGUAGCGAAGGGGUGACCUGUAGCCAAUCCCACAAAGCCGGCCCAAGUUCGGAUUGCAGGCUGCAAUUCGCCUGCAUGAGGUCGGAGUUGCUAGUAAUCGCGGAUCAGAAUGCCGCGGUGAAUGCGUUCCCGGGCCUUGUACACACCG
rnacentral:rRNA from 1 species